AAAUGAGGUGGCUCCUGCUGUUUUUCAACAGGUCUCCCAGUGGGUAUUUGUGUCCCAUGCUGCACUUGGGCUAAUCAUCUUUCAAGUCACUCCACAUCAGAUGAAGUGGAAAGGAGACCCCAGACAGUGUGUACGGGUCAGUCUGGCUGGGGAAGCAAGCAAAGGGAUGAUAUGUCUGAGUGACCAGAUCAGUGAAGUGCCACAGCAAGCCAGAUGGAUGAUUAGGCAAGAUAAUGGGAAAACAAAGGGAAGCAGAUCUGUCUUCAAAGAUACAAAACAACUACAGCCUUGGUACCCUGACACAGGAGCACAUUGACACUUGCUGAUGCCCUUCUAUCAGCCUCACAGCCUGGUGGAGCAGCCCAGCAGUGAUAUAUCAUAUUAUAAAAGUAUCAUCAACAUAUAAUGGUCACAUUCUCCAGUGCAUAACAAACAUACGUGCUUGUUAAGUGCCGACUGAACGAACAUUCAGUACCUCCAGAGCCAUGAUGUUCCACAGAAAGAAACAUAUGGAGAUAGGCAGGACUUGUUAAUUUGUUCUCAAAAGGAUACAGAUAAAAGCAGAUGCUAAGGGGAAAUAAAU
rnacentral:lncRNA from 1 species